UCUGAAUCCGUUUAAGCUCCUUGGCGCCAUCGAUCAUCUUUGGUCUCUUGUCCACUCCUCUCGCAGCAUCUGAAGGUUAUCUCAACAAACUUGUUCACCUUAAAUCUUUCAGCCUCCACAAUACUCGGUAUAUGGUCUCAAUAAACUUUCCUUUCUCUUGCAACCCUCUUACAUAGUUACGUAUAUCGACUCUGACUCUC
rnacentral:lncRNA from 1 species